rnacentral:rRNA from 1 species
GACGAGGGAUCCAAGCGUUGUUCGGAAUUAUUGGGCGUAAAGGGCGCGUAGGCGGCAAAUUAAGUCAGCUGUGAAAUCUCCGAGCUUAACUCGGAACGGUCAGCUGAUACUGAUCUGCUAGAGUGCGGAAGGGGCAAUCGGAAUUCUUGGUGUAGCGGUGAAAUGCGUAGAUAUCAAGAGGAACACCUGAGGUGAAGACGGGUUGCUGGGCCGACACUGACGCUGAGUGCGCGAAAGCCAGGGGAGCAAACGGG